GUGCUCGCGUCGGCAGCACGUACGUGAAAAUGGGAAUGGUUCGGAGAAGGUUAGCACGGCCCCUGUGCAAGGAUGACACGCAGAUUUGUGAGACGAUGCAUAGUUUU